rnacentral:misc_RNA from 1 species
UCCAGCUUUACAGGGAAUCCAGGGCUAUGUGGUACAAUUCUACAGCGUUCUUGUUCCAAUCCAUCAGUACCUGUCAAUCCUACUGCAACUGAUAAAAGCACAAACAUGAAACUUGUUGUUGGACUAGUACUUGGGGUCUUUUUUGGGACUGGUUUACUUAUCGCCACACUAGCACUGUGGAUAUUGUCCAAGAGAAGGAUCAUUCCAGGAGGGGACUCUGACAACAUAGAGAUGGAUACAAUUUCUAGCAACUCUUAUUCUGGAUUUCAUCCUGGGACUGUCAAGGACACUGACCUAGUUAUAUUGUUCCCAAACAAUACUGAUGAGAUCAGGGAUCUAACCAUAUCUGAGCUCUUAAAAGCCACUGACAAUUUCAAUCAAGCAAAUAUUGUUGGCUGUGGGGGUUUUGGUUUGGUCUAUAAAGCAACACUGGCAAAUGGG